rnacentral:rRNA from 1 species
UGAGAGUUUGAUCCUAGCUCAGGAUGAACCCUGCCUGCCGGCAGGCAGGGCUGGCUGAUCGCCUUUGGCGAUUACCGCCAGCUCUAAAUGUCGCGGCAUGGUUUUGUGAGUUUGGAGACUUUCAAAUUUUUUGAGAGUUUGAUCCUAGCUCAGGAUGAACGCUGGCGGCGUGGAUAAGGCAUGCAAGUCGAACGAUCAUUCGCUUCGCUCAUUGUAGCGAUGCGAAUAUGCGAAUCUGCUAAUAAUACGAAUAAAAACAUUUGUAUAAUUAGUAUUAUUUGUAUAUUGGUAUCGAUACAGCGAGCGGAGCGAGUGGUAGUGGCGAACGAGUCAGUAACACCUUGGUUACGUACCCCGAAGUGGAGCAUAGCCAGCCGAAAGGUUGGGUAAUUCUCCAUAAUCCCGCAAGGGUAAAGUCGCAAGACGCUUUGGGAUCGGCCUAGGCCCGAUCAGCUUGUUGGUGAGGUAACGGCUCACCAAGGCUACGACCGGUAGGGGUGCUGAGAGGCAGUUCCCCGACGACGAGACUGAGACACGGCUCGUACACCUACGGGUGGCAGCAGUCGAGAAUAUUCCACAAUGGGCGAAAGCCUGAUGGAGCGACGCCGCGUGGAGGAUGAAGGCCUUCGGGUUGUAAACUCCUUUUCUACAUGAGGAAGAUCGCCUCGUGCGGUUUGACGUUAGUGUAGGAAUAAGAGGUUGCUAACUCUGUGCCAGCCCGCCUAAAUUUUUGGCGAGGCUGGAAAUGGCGCAGAGCUUCGACGGUAACGUCGGAUAGGAAAACUUGGCUUAUAUGCUGGAACAUUUUUUAUCGUCCGCUGAUAUUUCUCUAUACAAGAGAACGCGAUAAAAAAUAAUCAGCAGGGAAGUCGUAAUUGACCCCUCAGAGACUUCGUUGAUUAAACGAGAUAGAUGUUUUUGAACGUCUAUAAUAUGCCAGGCCCCCAUAAAAUGGGGUGAUGAUAUAGUCCAAUUAGUUCGCCAAAAACUUUGGCGGGCCAGCAGCAGCGGUAAUACAGAGACCUCGAGCGUUGUCCGGAUUUAUUGGGCGUAAAGGGCGCGUAGGAUUCUCUUUGCAUCUCCAGUCAAAUAUUGAGGCUUAACCUCAAAACCGCUGGAGAGAUGAAAGAGAUUGAGGGUGCCAGAGGCAAGCGGAACGCACGGUGUAGGGGUGAAAUCCGUUGAUAUCGUGCGGAACACCAUAGGCGAAGGCGGCUUGCUGGGGCAUUCCUGACUCUGAGGCGCGAAAGCGUGGGGAGCAAAAAGGAUUAGAUACCCUUGUAGUCCACGCCCUAAACUAUGUUCGCUGGCUGUCGGGAGUAUCGACCCUCUCGGUGGCGAAGCUAACGCGUUAAGCGAACCGCCUGGGAAGUACGGCCGCAAGGCUAAAACUCAAAGGAAUAGACGGGGACUCGCACAAGCGGUGGAGCAUGAGGUUUAAUUCGAUGGUAAGCGAAACACCUCACCAGGGCUUGAAAUCCCAACGACGUCUCGCCGAAAGGCGUGAUUCUCCAGGUUUACUUGGAGCGUUGGGGCAGGUGUUGCACGGUUGUCGUCAGCUCGUGGCUUGAGUUGUUCCCUUAAGUGGGUCAACGAGCGCAACCCCUGUUGCCUGUUACAAGUGUCAGGCAAGACUGCCCAGCUCUUUUGGCAGUAUUAGAUUUUGUUGAUAGUAUGUGAGUAUGUUCUAUGUUUAUCUGAUAAAAAGUUUAAAAAGUGAUUUUCUGUAUGUCGGUACUACCGAUGAUUUAAGAAGAAGAUUUGCAGAACAUAGUAGUGGAAGAGAACUAUCAACAAAAUCUUACGCGCCUUUUAAGUUAAUUUAUUGCGAAGCCUAUCGGAGUAAGUAAGAAAGAUGCUUUGAUUAGAGAGAAAAAAUUAAAACAUCAUGGCAGCGUAAUUGGUCAUCUUAAAAGGCGCGUCAAACAUAGUUUAUUAGAAUAGUGCCAAAAGAGCUGGGAGGAAGGAGGGGAUGACGUCAAAUCAGCGUGACCCUUUGAUGCCCUGGGCGACACUCAUGCUACAAUGGCAGGUACAAUGGGUAGCCAAGCCGUAAGGCGGAGCCAAUCCCAUCAAAACUUGCCCCAGUUCGGAUUGGAGUCUGCAACUCGACUCCAUGAAGCCGGAAUCGCUAGUAAUCGCGGAUCAGCACGCCGCGGUGAAUACGUUCUCGAGUCUUGUACUCAAAAUUAAAGGCGCUGGGCAGUAUUUUUUACGAGAAGGUUAAAAUCCUUCUGCCGCGCAAGCGGCAUAGCCGAAAGACAGGUCCUCUGGAGCGAUCCGUGGACUGAAGGGUCUGAUGUGGCAAAAGACAGCCUUGUUAAAACCGCUGUGGCCGACUCUUGCGGUGAGUCAAGAGGAAGGUUACUUUUAAAAAAGCGGAAAGGAUGCCGGGAAUCGCAAGUAAUAUGACCCCAGGAGAUCUCAUGGAUAAAAAUAGGUAACAAGAAUCCGUGAGAAGUCAGCUGCGUCGUAGUACUGUGCGUCAUACUAUGAUAUACUGUGACGUAUGGGAAGGACAAAACCGAUAGUUUCUGCAGAUUAUGUCGUUGGUUUAACGGAUGGCGAAGGAUGUUUUUACGUUUAUGUUUCGAAUUCUCCUAGAUAUGUGGGAGGAGCUAGAGUAGGUCUUAACUUUUAUAUUAAAAUGAAUGAAAGAGAUAAGAACCUGCUUGAGAAAGUGAGACGUUCUCUGAAAUGCGGAUGUGUCUAUUUUCAGAGAGAGCAGCGUAAAAAUCACACUCAAUGUUAUCGCUAUACGGUCGGUUCUCACCGAGAUGUUAUAGAGAGAAUCAUUCCGUUUUUUAAAAGACAUUCUCUACAGAGUGAUUCUAAACGAAAAAGUUUUAUGUUUUUUUGUGAGAUUGCCGAAUUAGUCGAAAGCGGCAAGCAUCUUACAAAAGAUGGCAUAGAACAGAUUCGCCUGUUAAAAAAGCGUAUGAAUCAAAAAACUGUUGGGCUCGCGUAGUGCGGGAAAUCCGCUCACUACGCCCCGACGUCAAGUCGGGGAGCUGAUAUAGAUUUAUCUAUCAUCAGCUUGGGAACUCGAAAUCGACCUAUGAUUAUCGAAAUCCGCCCGUCAUACCAAGGGAGCCGGUAAUGGGUGAAGUCCCGCCCUUUUGGUACGAAAUUCGCGCCAAAAGGGCGGGAUCAGCCCAAGAUCGGUGACACGGGUAAAGUCGUAACAAGGCACGUGUAGCGGAAGCUGUGCGUGAAA